CGCGACCCCAGGUCAAGCGGGGCUACCCGCUGAGUUUAAGCAUAUCAAUAAGCGGAGGAAAAGAA
rnacentral:rRNA from 1 species